GAUGAACGCUGGCGGCGUGCCUAAUACAUGCAAGUCGAGCGAACAGACGAGGAGCUUGCUCCUCUGACGUUAGCGGCGGACGGGUGAGUAACACGUGGAUAACCUACUUAUAAGACUGGGAUAACUUCGGGAAACCGGAGCUAAUACCGGAUAAUAUAUCGAACGGCAUGGUUCAAUAGUGAAAGACGGCUUUGCUGUCACUUAUAGACGGAUCCGCGCCGCAUUAGCUAGUUGGUAAGGUAACGGCUUACCAAGGCGACGAUGCGUAGCCGACCUGAGAGGGUGAUCAGCCACACUGGAACUGAGACACGGUCCAGACUCCUACGGGAGGCAGCAGUAGGGAAUCUUCCGCAAUGGGCGAAAGCCUGACGGAGCAACGCCGCGUGAGUGAUGAAGGUCUUCGGAUCGUAAAACUCUGUUAUUAGGGAAGAACAAAUGUGUAAGUAACUAUGCACGUCUUGACGGUACCUAAUCAGAAAGCCACGGCUAACUACGUG
rnacentral:rRNA from 1 species